rnacentral:rRNA from 1 species
GAUGAACGCUGGCGGCGUGCUUAACACAUGCAAGUCGAACGAAGCACUUUAUUUGAUUUCCUUCGGGACUGAUUAUUUUGUGACUGAGUGGCGGACGGGUGAGUAACGCGUGGGUAACCUGCCUUGUACAGGGGGAUAACAGUUGGAAACGGCUGCUAAUACCGCAUAAGCGCACGGCAUCGCAUGAUGCAGUGUGAAAAACUCCGGUGGUAUAAGAUGGACCCGCGUUGGAUUAGCUAGUUGGUGGGGUAACGGCCCACCAAGGCGACGAUCCAUAGCCGACCUGAGAGGGUGACCGGCCACAUUGGGACUGAGACACGGCCCAAACUCCUACGGGAGGCAGCAGUGGGGAAUAUUGCACAAUGGGCGAAAGCCUGAUGCAGCGACGCCGCGUGAGCGAAGAAGUAUUUCGGUAUGUAAAGCUCUAUCAGCAGGGAAGAUAAUGACGGU